rnacentral:misc_RNA from 1 species
GAUGAAGAACGUAGCGAAAUGCGAUAAGUAGUGUGAAUUGCAGAAGUACCGUGAAUCAUCGAAUCUUUGAACGCAAAUUGCACUCUCUGGUAUUCCGGGGAGUAUGCCUGUUUGAGGGUCGCUUAACAAACCAUCGAUUUCGUUGCUUUUUUUUUUAAAGUGAUGUUUAUCGGAUUUGAGCCGUCUUUUUUUUUAUAUUUAAGUGGCUUAAAAUUUAUUUUUUUGGUACGAUCGAAGCGUAUUUUUAUGAUCAAUUUUUGGUUAAAGAAACGCACACGUACCGUUAUUUAUAUGAUGUAAUACGUUUGACUAUUGGAUUUAGUUCAUUCGUAUACGAUAUCUUUCAAUAUUUGACCUCAAAUCAGGUAAGAACACCCGCUGAACUUAAGCAUAUCAAUAAGCGGAGGA